GUUGGGCACUCUAAGUUGACUGCCGGUGACAAACCGGAGGAAGGUGGGGAUGACGUCAAAUCAUCAUGCCCCUUAUGAUUUGGGCUACACACGUGCUACAAUGGACAAUACAAAGGGCAGCGAAACCGCGAGGUCAAGCAAAUCCCAUAAAGUUGUUCUCAGUUCGGAUUGUAGUCUGCAACUCGACUAUAUGAAGCUGGAAUCGCUAGUAAUCGUAGAUCAGCAUGCUACGGUGAAUACGUUCCCGGGUCUUGUACACACCGCCCGUCACACCACGAGAGUUUGUAACACCCGAAGCCGGUGGAGUAACCAUUUGGAGCUAGCCGUCGAAGGUGGGACAAAUGAUUGGGGUGAAGUCGUAACAAGGUAGCCGUAUCGGAAGGUGCGGCUGGAUCACCUCCUUUCUAAGGA
rnacentral:rRNA from 1 species